CUGGCAACACUGCUGGCCCCUUGCCAGCAAUUAGGCACAAUGUCCUACCUUUCAAUUCUGAACAUCAACAUUGUGUAAAAUCAGAUAAAGCUGAGCCUAUCUCUGUAAAUAUAUUGCAGGUUGUCUUAGCCUUCUAGCUCAAGGCCUUUUGUCAACAUAUAAGCACUCCAGAUUGACAUGUGACAGAUCAUGCAAUUUAUUUAGUUUAUUCUUACUUGAAGCUUGUAUAUAAAGCGCUCACAAAGACAGUUGAGUGCAUUAGUCAAAUUUACUGUUUUGUUAAUUAAUAUUAAUCUGUGAAAAUACUGUAAUUUUGUAAGCAAAAGAUCCCAAUGAAAAUAUAAUUCAGUUGCAACCUCCAAUAUCUCUACAGCAUCAAAAAAGAAAUACUUGAUUGAAAAUGUUUAUUCCACUACGAGCUAUGAUACCUGGAUACAUCAGACUGCUGCAGAGUCGAUCUGCUGGCAAAAUGACACUGAACAAUACAGACACAUUGAUGCAUGGGACAGCUCUAUUUCUCGGCGUGUUAGGUUUCAGCAUGUCCUACUAUAGUACACGACAAAUGCAACUUCAGCAGAAAUCAUUAACUAACUUUAAAACAUCUACCUGAUAAAGAAGUGGAUACAGAAUGUUCACUGUCAGGCCAUGAAAGUGAGAUUGUAUUUGAUGGUAAAUGUUGUCAGAUCACCUCCUGGAUUUCGCCUGCUGUCUUAAAGUUUUAAAAUCCAAUAAGCUUCGCUAUCAUUACAAAUGCACUAAUGAUUUGUCGUGGUAAAGGCAAUCGGCCUUUAACUAAUGCAGACUGUUAAAUUUUGAAACUUUGUGCAUAGAAAUUUGAAUCUGAAGCUAAGUCUAAGCCAUAUUGUAAUUAAUUAUGCAAAAUGGAGACUGCUGUCAUUCACUAUGAUGGCUGUGUGCAGAGAUAUAUUCAAAGUGAUUCCAUGUAACUAGCCACAAAAUUUUGCAGAAGUUAAAAACUGUUUUUACCAUUAACCUCUGAAAACGUGGCUGACAUAGUAGGCCAAAUGCACCAUAAGAAUGGAAGGAGCAAAUAUAGGCCAUUUGGCCCUCUGUGCCUACUCUGUUAUUCAGUAAGAUAAUAGCUGAUCUUCUACCUCAACUCCACCUUACUGCUUGAUAACAAAACACCUAAAAAUCCAUCAAUCUCUGACUUGAAAGUAUUUGAUGAUUGAAUACUUACAGCCCUCAGGUUUAGAGGAUUCCAAAUAUUCACAGUCCUUUGAGUGAAGAAAUUUAUUCUCAUUUCAAUCCUUACUGUUUAAACCCUCCUUGUGAGGCUGUGAUUCCUAGCUCUAGACAGGAAAGACAGCCUCCCUAGCAACUAUCCUGUCAAGUCUCUUGAGAACUGUAUAUCUUUCAGUGAGAUAACUUCUCAUUCAUUUAAAUUUCAGGCAGUAGGCUUAAUCCUCUGAAUUUCUCCUCAUAGGAGAAUCUCUGUAUCCCAAGAGUCAAUCUACUGAUCCUUUGGUACCUUCCUUUGAAGAGAAGUGUAUCCUUCGUUUGGUAUGGAAAUCAAAAGUGUUCUCAGCAUUGCACUUGUAAUUUCCCUAAGGUCCUCUAUAAAUGCAGCAAGACUUAUUUAGUCUUACUCCAAAACCUAUGUAAGAAAAGCUUAUAUUCCACUUGUCUUCCCCUAAUUUUGUAUUGUUGACUGUGCUUGUUAACUUCCUGUGAAUUGUAUGUAUGCAAAUGCCUUUUGAAAACCAACAUCUCCCAAACUCUUGCCAUUUAAUAAAUAUUUUGUUUUUAUAUUUUUGUUACCAAAAUGAAUAAAUACAUCUGGCUUCAAAUUAUGAUCCAUGAGGAACAAUUUUGUUUACUCACUCAUCCAUAUCCCUUUGUAACUGGUCUGCAUUCUCCUCAGACCUUACUUUCUGAUCAAAGUUUAUAUUAUCAGCAAGCAUGGACACACUACAAAUUGUUGAUGUAAAUUAUAAAUAGGUAAGCCCCAAGCACAGAUCCUUGCAGUACCACAAUGCAGUUUGUUAGUGUAAAAUGUCCCAUUUAUUCAGAUUGUCUGGUUUAUGUUGGUUAACCAAACUUCAAUGCAUACAACAUAUUACCCUCAAUCCUCGAAGCCAUGUUUUUUCUCCCCCUUCUUGAAUAACAAAUUUGUCUUUGCUGUUUCCAAUCCCUAGAGAUUAUUCUAAAAGCUAAAGGAUUAAAAUGCUUCUUCUAAUUUUGUAGCCAUCUCCUAUGACAUAAACCAUCAGGUCCAAGGGAUUUGUCAGCUUUUAGCUCCAUUAAUUUGCCCAGUACAGUAUGUGUACUAAAACAUUUUUUUAAAAGUUCCUCAAUCUCACUAAUCUCUUUGUCCUUCAUUAUUUCUAGAAUGCUCUUUGUGUCUUCUAACAUGAAGGAUACAAAGGGUUUGUUUAAUGUUUCUGCUAUUUGUUUAUUCCACUAGCAAUUUAUCUGUCGGCCUGUUAGAAAGAUGCUUGCUACUAUUAAUCUCCUUUCUUCCAUUAAUGUUUUUAUAUACCUACAGAAACUUUUCCAAUCUAUUUCUAUGUCUGUUCCUAGUUUACUUACAACUUCAGUUGUCUUUCUAUCUUCUUCUUGGUCAUCUUUUUCUGAAUUUUAAGAUCAUCCCCAAUCUCACACUUGAUUUUCUUUGGGAACAUUAGAAGCUCUUACUUUUAAUCUAUUCUGUCUUUAAAUUAUUUUAUUAGCCAACACUGGACCACUUUUCAUGCUGGAUUUUUAUUUCUUAAGAAUUGUUAUGUGUUGUGGGUAAUGAUUUUAAAAAUAUUAGACAUUGCAUAUCUACCCCUUACUUUACUUACCAUAUCUUUACAAAGGUAUCAGAAAAAUAUACAUUGCCAGUAUUCUAUUAAUAAUUUCAUUAACUUUUGUGAAUUAGUAACAGUACUGGAUUAAUAUGUGGUUUUAAAGGAUCAUGGUAUCUUUGUUCAAAAUGCCAUUCAUUUCAUUAUCUGGCAAUCAUUGUAAUCAAUCAAAUGCAAUAUUUUAAAUAUGAACAGAAGCACAUCAAUAUGAUGCUAUGCAAUGAUAUAUAUAUAUAUUUGGCAAUUUAAAGAAUAACAUUUAUCUUACUGUAUAAAGACCAUUAUUGACUGCAAAUCAUGACAUACUUAACCAGAACGUAGCAGCAAAAAUAUAAAUGAAUUACCAGAGCAAGAGAAAGGCAAAAAUUAAUUGCUCAAGACAAAAAUAAAAGUUAACUUUUGCCUCAAUACUCAACUACCUCUGCUGACACUUAGAGAUUUAAAAAAUCUCUCAUUACAAAAUGAAAACUGCCAGGCUCAACUUCAUGAUCACAAAGAAAAGUGUAUUUUACAGAAGUAUGGCAAAUGGAAGUAACUGUACUUUGUUUUAGCUCUGUCCUUUCAGUUUAUUGUCCUUCAGCUCUCUGAAGGAAGACAGAUCUGAUGCAUAGCACUCAAACCUCCACCAUACAGGACAAGGAGAUAGAUAUCAAAUCCAAUCCAAGGCGUCCAUUUGCUAUGGUAACACGCACUAUCCAUCCAUGUCGUGGUCUGGAGCUACAAAUACUGAUGGUACAGGUUCCAACAUUUCUGUCUUGUUCAAAGUGCCUCUGAUUCUGCAAUGUGACUAGGUUGGUAUAGAAAACACGUUGGCACACUCUGCCUAAUGCCCACUAUCAUCUUGGAGUGAAUUCCUUCAUCACGAAUGGAGCAUGACAUAUGGGUCAACAAAUGAACCAAGCAUCUUGAUUAUGUAUGUUCAUCAGCAUUUUCCAAACAGAUUUUGUAGCAAUGACAGAUCAGACCCCAUUUUAUGAUCCAGAUAGAGACUAUAACUUUUUAUUUCAAAAUAGACAAAAUUUGAAAUCUCCAAUACUUAUUUAGAGAAUAACCAUACGAUUUUGCAUUUUAAAAAUCUUUAGAAAAUCAGAAAGAUAAAAUAAUCUAUAUUACCUUUUUUUUAUCUUUAACACAGGCUAAGCAUAAAUUAACAACCAAAUUGUAGUAAAACACAGCCCAAAGGAAAAAUAGAGACAAAAACUGAAAUUGCUGGAGAAACUCAGCAGGUCUGGCAGCAUCUUUGGAGAGAGAGCUGAGUUAACAUUUUGUGUCUAGUGAUCCUUUUUUAGGACACAGCCAUUUCAUCUACUGUUUACCAAAAUGUAUUUCCUAUCAACCUACUCCACUUCAACUUUUAAACUCUGAAAAUCUGUCCUUUUCCGGUCUGGAAUCUUAAUCCUUGACUGAUUUUUAAAAAAAAAACCUUUCCCAAUUUAACAUUGACCUUUAUUACGUUAUAACUGUUAUUUCUCAAAUGCUCCCCCACUUUGACAUUCUCCACUUGGCCUGCCUUAUUUCCUAGGAUCCAAUCAAGCACAGGUCCAUCAAUAGUAGGACUGGAAAUGUACAAUUCCAGAAAUUUCUCCUGUCUCAUUGCAGGAAUUUCUCCCCCUUCUAUACCCCACAAUCUCACUUUUUUCCCAGUCUACCCUGCAUAAUUGAAAUCACUGACUAUCACAACCUAAUUGUCCUGCAGAUUUCCAUAACCUGCUUACAAAUGUUCACUCCUACUUCCUUACCACUAUUUGGAUGUCUUUAAUAAAUGCUGCUAACGUCACCGCUCUCAUCCUGUUUCUCACCUCGAACCAUAUAGAUUCUAAUUCAACGUCAUCUCAUUCAAAGGCAAUGAUAUUAUUAUUUACCAAAACUGCUAUACCUCUUCUCUUUUUACCCACCCUAUUUCUACAAAUAAUCUUAAAAGCUGGAAUGUUAAGUAUCUAAUCCUGUUCUGGCUUGAGCCAUGUUUCUGUCAAUGGUGUUAUAUCAUAUAAUUUCUACUUCUAGUUUCCCAAUUUGUUCACUACACUCUGUGUAUUUACAUAUAUACAAUUAUUUUUGCCUUUAUCUCUUGCUCAUUAAGAUGCAAGCAUGAUUUUGUUCACUGUCAACACUCAAGCCUUCCCUCACUUCCUUUUCUCUGUUCCCCAUUUUCUCUCUUUUGCCCUCUCUGGUACUUCUAAAACUGGGCUCAUUCGUCAAUUCACCUGCCUGCCUUAUAAGUUUAAAUCUAUCUCCACUACAGUAUUUAAUCUCUCAGCCAGAUGCUUAGUUCCAUUUCUGCGCAGGUCCUUUCCCAAAAGUGAUCCUAAUGUCCCAAAAAUCAUAACCCUUCCCUAAUAAACCAUAUCUUAAGCAACACAUUUACCAAAACAUCCAUCCAACACAUUUACCUCUACGCGGGUGAAGCUCAUGGCACAGGCAGUAUUUUUUAGAUUACCAGUCUGGAGAUCUGGUGUUUCAAUAUUCUCCCUAACACCUGAAACCGAUUAUACAAGAUGUCCAAUCUAUCCUGAAAAUGUUGAUGGUUCUCACAUGAACCUCAACCACGGGUUGUGCAUUUUCCAUUUCCAGAUGUUUAUUCAGCCUUCACCAGCACUUGCAUCCCCGAGGCAACCGACCAUGCUCAAAGACUCAAAAUCUCAGCUGCAAACUCGCCUGUCUAUCCCUCAAGCUGUUGAGUCAACCACUUUCUAACACACAUCCACCAACUUCAAUACCACUGAGUCACCAACAUCACAUAUCAUUCUGUUCUCCUCCUGAGGGGUUUCAACUCUUUACUUUCAAAGACCCAACUUGCCUCAAAAACCACACUGACUUGGACUGCGUCAGAGACUGCUCACUUCUGAGUGGCUUAAUCUUGUCUCCUGAGGCCAUGCUAUUCUGGAUUCCCAAGCUUACACUCCAACAUUGACUUAUGGGCACCAUUCCAUUUCAUUAGCCACAUUGAGCCAAUAUUCGCUGCUUUAGAGAUUUGCGUCUGCAACAAAGGUCAGCAAUACCGAGCCAGUGACUUUAUACCACCUUCUAAACUCCGAAAGACUUCUUCCCGGCUUCAACUGGAAUGGUUUGACUGGAUUUGUGGCAAUUGCUAAAUGUCUGAAAGGAAAUCAAAGGGGAUGAUAGAAGUCAGGAAAGGGGUCAUACAUGGGAAGCAAAUGAUCCGUGAUCACACUCACAGCGGUUUGCUCAGUAUGGUGGCAGAAUCAAGGUAAGCUGACAGUUCAGGAGGAUCAUGAAGCAACCAUCCUCAACAUUCUCAGUGACAUUAGAUGCUUUGUCACAGUUAAUUCCAUGAUGUUGAAAACCAAUUCCACCAGAGGAUGUAGGAAAUAGAAGGAUACUUGUGCCCUGCCAAUCCAGUUCUAUUCUUCUCCUUUCUACUUUGUGUGACCUUAUCCUGAAAGGGACUGGUCAAAAUGUCACUAUUUGUAUUGCACUACGUUUAGGCAAUAUAACUGCCAUGGCUGAAUAUCCAGCGGUGUAUGGGAGCAAUAUUGGUUCAAAUAUCUGAAUAUUAGAUAUGAGUCUGAAGUGCUAGUGACUACUGAUAGUUUAGUUAUGUACUGAGCAGUGAGAGAGGCGGGUGAUGUGAUGCCGGUCAAAAUGUGUGGUGCUAGAAAUGCAUGGUCGGUCAUUCAGCACCCGAGGAGCAGGAGAGUCGAUAUUUCGAGCAUGUAGUGCAUGAAAUAGGAUGCAAAGCCGUGUUCACUGACUAUGACUAUCUAUAUAAGAUCAUUAGACUUCUUGAGUCACUCUGUUAGCUCAGUAGAUCCAGAUUAAAGGGACUGACUUCCGUGAGCACCUGUUCCCUUCUGAGGGAUGUCCUUGGAGACCUCCUGAGCUCCUGCCCCACCACCAUUAUUCGUGGAACCAUGUCUUGCCAUUUACCUCCAACAACCAUCCCUGAUGCUGGAGCCCCACUUUGGCUCACAAACCAUUCUUCUUUUUAAGCAAUACACAAAUAGAACUCAGCACAGCCUGCUAUUAUUUAGCGUAUAUUCCCUUUAAGAGGAUCAGACUGCCUUUAAAAACAGAGGUCUGGUUAGACCUCAUAUAAGCACGAUACUGCUUUGCUGCAUGCUGAGUACAGAGGCAACCAGCAGCACAGAGACUACACAGCUCAAUAGUACCACUAAUGUAAAUGAUGUGACAAUACCAACUUUGUGUGCUGUCUACUUGUACCACAGUUAGUGCAAGCGGAUCAUAACUGGCAACCCAUUGGAAAGUUAAAGAUUCAACAAGUUUAAUACAAGGACAGAGAUCAGAAAAGUGGCAGAGGUCAGGAUAAAAAACCAAGGGAAAGGAUUGUAAUGGGAUGAAAGGCAAAAGAGUUUAAUGACAGAAGAGCGCAAAGUGUAAAGCUAAAGAUGGCAGUGGGGUUGUGAAGAAACAGAAGAUGGAGCUGGAGAGAUGUGAGUGGGCAUGGCAUUAACAACAACAGUCAUCCAAAAGCAACUUAAGAUUUGUAGUUAUUGAACUCAGCGUUAAGUUUGCAAGACUGUGAUGUCCCUCAUCUAAAGGCGAGGUCUCAUUUCUCAAACUCAUGUUGAAUUUUAUUUGAACAGAGUAGGAAGUCCAGAACAGAUGUCAGAGUAGAGAUGGUGGAGCGGGAGAAUUAAAAUGACCAAUGACUGGAACUCAGGGUCACGCUUGCAUACUGAAAUGAGGUGUUCUACAAAGUAGUCACCAAAUCUGGUGAUGAUAUUUCCAGUGUGGAGGAGCAGCAUAUAUACUAAAGAAUUAAUUCAUUGUUUCACAUAUUUGGGGACUUGGAUGGUGAAAAGGGAGAGAUAAAAAGACACGUGUACCUCCUCUGCUUGCAUGGGAAGGGGAGGCAGUGUUGAGGGGGUAACUGUGUAGUGAACCAGGGUGGUGCAGAGGGAAUGGUCCCUUUGCAAUACUGAAAGGGGAAGGAGGUGGAAGAUAUAUUUGGUGGUGGCAUCACACUGAAAAUGGCAGAAAUGGUGCUCAAUGAUCCAUUGAAUAUGAAGGCUGAUGGGGUAGAAGGUGAAGAUGAGAAGAAUCAUGUUCUGGUUCUUAGAAUAAGGUGGAGGGUUUAGAGUUGAGGUGCAAGAAAUGAAAUGGAAUAGUCUGGUUGACAAUCUCAGUAACAGCAGUGGGGUUGCUCCAGUGACAAAUAGAGGAGACAUAUGAUGGAUCAGAUGCACCAGAAAUGAUUGGUGGAAAGUGUAGUCAAGGUAGUUAUUCAAGUCAGUGGGCUUAAAGUGGAUAUAUCCAGAAAUGGAGACAGAGAAGUUAAGGAAGGAAAAUAAGAUUUAGAGAUGUAUCAUGUAAAGGGAGGAAAGAAUGGAAACUAGAAGAAAAGUCAUUGAGAUUUCUACAUUCAGACUAAAGCAACAAAAGACACAAACACAGUCAUAUGCUGUAAAAUGUUGUUAGGAAUGCACCUGAAUAGCACUGAAACAUAAUAUUUUCUAUGAAAAAGAAGAGAGGACCUAUACAGUUAUCAUCCCUUUCUCAAAAAAUUGGUACUAUUUUCUGUAUUAUUUUCCCAGAUGAUUGCUCUCGCACCUUGUGAUGUUUGCAUCUUCUGGUAUGUUGUACAAGGUAAGGGUUGUUUGAGACAAUGUGCUGACACCAAUCUUCCUCCAAAACCAUAUUACCAACUCCAUCCCUGUCCCUUUGGUCAGACAGAGAUGAUGAAGAGCUUAUGCUCGAAACAUCGAUUCCCCUGCUCCUUGGAUGCUGCCUAACUGGCUGUGCUUUUCCAGCCCCACACUCUUGACUCCAGACUGAGAUAAGCCAGACUGUUCACAACCUUGUGUCACAUUUGACCCUGAGAUGUGCCUCUGACUUCAUAUUCACAUGAUAACUAAGAUUACUUAUUUCCACCUCAUUAUAUCACCCAAAUUCACCUGUGUCUCAGAUCAUCUGUUGCUGAAACCCUCAUUCAGGGCUUUAUUGCUUAAGGACUCAAGAUUUUCAAUGCACUCCUGGCUCUUGUCCCACAUUCUACCUCCAGAAGAUCUUUUAUCACUCUGCUGGCCAUUUCUUAACUUGAAGCAUCACUCCUGUGUUUGCUGACCAACAUCAGCUCCCAGGAAUGAGAAAUGUCUUAAUUUUCAAAAAUAUUAUUCUUGCCUUCAAAUUCCUCCCUAUCUUUGAAAUCUCCUCCAGCUCUAUAGUGUACUAAGAUAUCUGUAUUCCUUUCAUCUUGUCUCUAGAGGUCCAUGAUUGUAACCCACCAAUGGUGCCUAUACCUUUAGUUGCCUGGGCCCCAAGCUCUGGAAGACCAUACCUGCAUCUCUAUAAUUUCUACCUCUCUUCUGACAUUUAAGACACUUAUUAAAACCUACUUUUUUGACUUAAUAUCACUUUAUACAGUUUAAUAUUAAAUUUUGUUUUAUAAUGUACCUGAGAAGUUCCUUGCAAAGAUUUAUUAAGUUGACGGCACUCGAGAAAUCUAAGUUGAUGCUUUAGAUUCCAUAAAGAUAAUGAAUGAAGGUAAAGUAAAAAUUGUUCAAAUGUGAGAAUAAGUUUAUCUUGACAGAGGUUGGGUUAGUUUGUGGAAACAAUUUGGAAUUCUUUACAAGGAGGAAACAGAAACAUUGGUAAUUGAAAUUCCAUAUUGAAAAGAGAAUGAAGAGGUUUUUUUUAUCUCAGCGGGUUCUGUGAUUAUGGAACUUCCUGCCUCAGAAGCAAGAAGAGGUGAGGAGACAAUGAAUAUUUUAAAGUGUUGGCAGAUAGGAGUUUGUUAGGCAAUGAAAUCAAUCAUCAGGAUUAGAGAGGAGUGUGGAAUUUGAAACAUAAACAAUUUGGCCAUGAACUUAUUGAAUAGCAGAGUAGGCUAGAGAAGCAAAUGGUUUACUUAUACUCCUAAUUUUUAUAUUUAUAUUUUAGUCCCAUGCAACUGGAAACUGAUAAAUUGGUAGUUUUUUUCUCUAGAAUUUUUCUCGGGUGCUAGAAAAUUUGAACGUGUGGCUGGGAAAACCUGGGACAAAGAGAGAGAAAGCAGAGUCAAUGUCGGAGGCAAUAUGUUCCAUGAAGGAAGAGCUGACAGAAAAUUCCUGGUCUUCACUCUUCAGAAGGAGGUAGAUGUGGACUAUUUGGGUUGAGAGAUCUAUGAGAAAUUCAGUCUAUCUUUGACUUACUUUGAACAAGACAUAAUUUCUGCUUUACAUCAUCAGGCAUAUGAAUUUUGAAUGAUUAUUGGCUACAUUUCUAUUUUAAAGUUGUAUUUUAAGAGACGUACUUAUGUCAUAAACUCUAAGAAUUCCUGAAGACAACAGAAUUAUUUCUUCUGAAUAAGCAACAAUGAGAUGUUUUAUUCGUAUUUCAUGCGUGAGUAACAAAAUAAUGUUUCAUUUAUAAGAUACUAAAUGCUAGUUUACAACACUGUUACAAUUGGUUUGCCCAUUUAUAUAUUGUUACUUUGUCUGUGAAAUUUAUUAAAAUAUAUGUAAAUAUUUAGGGAAAUAGUUAGGGAAACAAUUAGAUUAGAUUAGAUUCCCUACAGUUGUUAGAUUCUUCUGCAGCUUGGUAAAUUUAAAUAAAUAAACUUUGAUUUUUUUUCCACUAUUUAUAAGUGCAAAAUGCUGUUGAUGCUGAAAAUCUGAAACAAACAGGAAGUGCUGGAGAAACUCAACAGAUCUGGCAGCAUCUGUGGAGAGAGAAAAACAGAGUUAAUGUUUUGAAUCUGAUAUGACUCCUUGAGAAACUCAAAACAUUAACUCGGUUUUCUGUCUUUCUAUUGAUGCUGCCAGACUUACUGAGUUUCUCCAGCAUUUCCUUUGUUUGUUCACUAUUUCUUGGUUUUGUAUGAAUUUGUAAAAAAAAAAAUCAUGCUUCCAAUCUUUGCAUGUGCUAAUAAAAACAAGUUGUUUCAACAGGA